ensembl:lncRNA
UUCACAUUAAGGACAUUUCAUUGCAAGGAUGCAUAUUAUAAAAUGUUCUGUAUAGACAUGAGAUAUGUGGCUGUCAUUGCGGGAAGGUCGGAUAUAAGCAUUGGUUAUUGUAGCUACCUGCUUAAACUGUGUAGAGGUGCUUUUUUAGUGUAGUUGCUCACCUGCCACUAUUUAUGAUGUUAGUAUAAUGCUCAUUCAGCAGCAUAUGUCCUUUGCAACACAUUGACUCACGGAAGUGGAAACAAUUGCAAAACGAUCCGCGAUCUGGAACGCUCACCACGUACAGUGUGUUGUGGAAUGGAUCACUUAGCUAUCGGUGGAGGGUCAGAGUUGAUGGAUACAUAUGCUCAACAAUGCAUCAUGUACAAAUACUGCUCCUACUGUAAUGUCUUACUGAAAUCAUAUUCUCUCUCUUUCGAUUGAUGUUUCCUGUCUGAUGGAUUGCCACUCGAAAGUACCAGAGAGAGCACAAACACAACUGUUUAGGAUUGUAUAACAUGAUCCACAUAAAACAUUGGAGUGAGUGACUGGUUAAAAUGUUUCUAUUGACCCCUAAAACUGACGCCCCUCAAUGGUAAUUAGAGUUUAUAUGACUACUUGUUGACGCGACAUUGUGGAGUUAAUUUGGGAGGGAACUGUACAUACAAAAGUGUAAAGGACAACAGUUGCAGGAAGAAAUACACGAGGGGAUGUUUAUUUAUGUUGGCUAGUGUUUCUUUCUUGGUUCUUGUGCCAUGGGCUUUUGCCAGUCAUACUCAGUACUAGCUUAACAGUAGCUUUACAGCAUCUACGUUGUCUUUUUUUCCAGCUGAGUCUAUUGUCAAUUGAUUAUUUAUUUAUUCUUCUGAAAUGGCAGCACAGAGACUGAAGGGAAGACCUUUAUUUUUAAAAUACAGCAUUUAUUGAAAUGUCAAUAGAUUUCAGAAACAUAUCUAAUAACUUACUCUCAUUUUGAUUUGAUUCGAUUGAUUAAUUGGCCAUUAUAAUUAUUGAAAGGCUUUGUAAAGAGGAUCAUGUAAGAAGUAUGUCAUAAUUCAUCUUUCAAAUUAAAAGAUAGUGAUUAAAUUAAACGAUAGGGAUAAUGAUAGAGCUUUUUUUCCCUCCUGAUUUGAUGUUUAUCUUGAAUGUGUAAGGCAUUGAGCUAACAGGUAGACAUGUUUAACAGAAUUGGGGAAUUAUGGGUAAUUCUUUUGAUGGUCUACCUUAAUUGGUCUUCUGUGAAGAGUGAUUGUAUAUUCUGCCCAUGUGAAAUGCAAAUAAAGAGUUAUGACAAAAAAAACAGUGCUUCUGAAACAGCAGACUCACCAUUCUGUUUUCAAUUGACCUAAAUACGUAAUAGACAAAUACAAUAUGUAUAAUACGAUUUUUCAUGACCUCAUGAGUCUUAAAAUGCCAACCUCUUUUGCUGGGGAGUUAAGGCUUGUCUGUAAGUGAGACGUGGGCCUUGUUAAGUCAACCUCACACUGCGAGAGAGAGAUGGAGGAAGGGAGCCAGGGAGAGAGGGAUGACCGACACAGCCGUGCCCCACGUUUAAAUGAGAGACCCAGGGUGACGGAGGCUGUGAAAUAUCAUGUCUCGGAGCCUAGCUUGACAUUUCAGUGACCUCCAGCGGCUAGGGUUUUUCUUCUUAUUCUCCACCAGAGAAUUUGGCAGUACAGCCAAAGGCCUCACAACCGCAGACCAUGUGUAACCACGCCAGCCCAGGACCCCCACAUCUGGCUUCUUCACCUGCAGGAUCAUCUGAGACCAGCCACCUGGACAGCUGAUGAAACAGAGGAAUAUUUAUGUCUGUAAUAAAGCCCUUUUGUGCAAAAAACUCAUUCUGAUUGGCUGAGCCUGGCUCCCCAGUGGGCACCCCUGCCCAGUCAUGUGAAAUCCAUAAAUUAGGGCCUAAUGAAUUUAUUUAAAUUCACUGAUUUCCUUAUAUGAACAGUAACUCAGUAAAAUCGCUGCAAUUGUUCCGUUUAUAUUCUUGGUCAAUAUAUACAGUACCAGUCAUUGUAGAAUAAGACAUCAAAACUAUAAAAUAACACAUAUGGAAUCAUGUAGUAACCAAAGGUGUUAAACAAAUCAAAAUAUAUUUCAAUUUUGAGAUUCUUCAUUCGUAGCCACCGUUUGCCUUGAUGACAGCGUUCUACACUCUUGGCUUUCUCUUAACCAGCUUCAUGAGGAAUGCAUUUCCAACCGUCUUGAAGGAGUUGAGCACUUGUUGGCUGCUUUUCCUUCACUCUGCGGUCCAACUAAAUCCAAACCAUCUCAAUUGGGUUGAGGUUGGGUGAUUGUGGAGGCCAGGUCAUCUGAUGCAGUUCUCCAUCUCUCCCCUGCAUGGUCAAAUAGCCCUUACACACUCUGGAGGUGUGUUUUGGAUCAUUGUCCUGCAGAAAAACAAAUUAUAGUCCC